rnacentral:lncRNA from 1 species
CAACACCGCAUAACGGCCACCUGCCUGGAGCGGACAAAGUGCACGGCUAAAUCCACUUUAGCUUUCAUUACCGGCUGUUAUAAACCUUUAAACUAAUGUUACACUGAACUCCCGGUGUUCACAGGAUCAUUAUCAUUUUAGCAUUAUUAAUACUUUCCUAAAAUCUUGCCACAGAAAAUUUAGCUUGCCAUAAAUUUACGUACCUUAUUUUGCUCCAUUAUUUUCUUAGUUGAUGCUAGAUAUUUAAGUAUGUAAAUUGAGAGAGAAUAU